rnacentral:rRNA from 1 species
GGGGGCCCGCACAAGCGGUGGAGCAUGUGGUUUAAUUCGAUGCAACGCGAAGAACCUUACCUACUCUUGACAUCCUGCGAAUCGGGUAGAGAUACCUGAGUGCCUUCGGGAGCGCAGAGACAGGUGCUGCAUGGCUGUCGUCAGCUCGUGUUGUGAAAUGUUGGGUUAAGUCCCGUAACGAGCGCAACCCUUGUCCUUAUUUGCCAGCACGUGAUGGUGGGAACUCUAAGGAGACUGCCGGUGACAAACCGGAGGAAGGUGGGGACGACGUCAAGUCAUCAUGGCCCUUACGAGUAGGGCUACACACGUGCUACAAUGGCCGGUACAAAGGGCAGCGAGCUCGCGAGAGUCAGCGAAUCCCUUAAAGCCGGUCUCAGUCCGGAUCGGAGUCUGCAACUCGACUCCGUGAAGUCGGAAUCGCUAGUAAUCGUGCAUCAGAAUGGCACGGUGAAUACGUUCCCGGGCCUUGUACACACCGCCCGAUCUUUCUAGAAGAUCUCCUACAAUAUUCUCAGCUGCCAUGGAAAAUCGAUGUUCUUCUUUUAUUCUCUCAAGAUUUUCAGGCUGUAUAUUAAAACUUAUAUUAAGAACUAUGCUAACCACCUCAUCAGGAACCGUUGUAGGUGGCGUGGGUUUUCUUGGCAAUCGACUCUCAUGAAAACUACGAGCUAAAUAUUCAAUAUGUUCCUCUUGACCAACUUUAUUCUGCA